rnacentral:rRNA from 1 species
ACAGGUAGGCGAGGAGAGAAUCCUAAGGUGAGCGGGAGAACUCUCGUUAAGGAACUCGGCAAAAUGACCCCGUAACUUAGGGAGAAGGGGUGCUCUACGGAGUAGAGCCGCAGUGAAUAGGCCCAAGCGACUGUUUAGCAAAAACACAGGUCUCUGCGAAGCCGAAAGGCGAAGUAUAGGGGCUGACACCUGCCCGGUGCUGGAAGGUUAAGGGGAAGAGUUAGGGCUUUUGCCCGAAGCUUAGAACCGAAGCCCCAGUAAACGGCGGCCGUAACUAUAACGGUCCUAAGGUAGCGAAAUUCCUUGUCGGGUAAGUUCCGACCCGCACGAAAGGUGCAACGACUUGGGCACUGUCUCAACGAGAGACCCGGUGAAAUUAUACGAUGCGUGAAGAUGCGCAUUACCCGCGACAGGACGGAAAGACCCCGUGGAGCUUUACUGUAGCCUGAUAUUGAAUGUCU